UUGAACGCUGGCGGCGUGCUUAACACAUGCAAGUCGAACGAGAAAGGGACUUCGGUCCUGAGUAGGGUGGCGCACGGGUGAGUAACGCGUAGGUAAUCUACCUCUGCAUCUGGGAUAACACUUCGAAAGGGGUGCUAAUACCGGAUACACUUAUGGGUCGCAAGACCUAUAAGGAAAGGAGACCUCUCCUUGGAAGUUUCUGUGUAGAGAUGAGCCUGCGUCCCAUUAGCUAGUUGGCAGGGUAAUGGCCCACCAAGGCGACGAUGGGUAGCGGGUCUGAGAGGAUGAUCCGCCACACUGGAACUGAAACACGGACCAGACUCCUACGGGAGGCAGCAGUGAGGAAUAGUGGACAAUGGGCGCAAGCCUGAUCCGGCGACGCCGCGUGAGUGAUGAAGGCCUUUGGGUCGUAAAGCUCUGUCUUCAGGGAAGAAAAAAAUGACGGUACCUGAGGAGGAAGCCCCGGCUAACUACGU
rnacentral:rRNA from 1 species